CGCGUAGGCGGUUCGAUCAGUCUGCUGUGAAAGCCCCGGGCUCAACCUGGGAAUAGCAGUGGAUACUGUCGGACUAGAGUGCAAGAGAGGAUGGCGGAAUUCCCGGUGUAGCGGUGAAAUGCGUAGAGAUCGGGAGGAACACCGAUGGCGAAGGCAGCCAUCUGGAUUGACACUGACGCUGAGGGGCGAAAGCGUGGGAGCAAACA
rnacentral:rRNA from 1 species